ensembl:lncRNA
AUGCAGGGACUCAAGGCUGACUCUGCUCUCUCUCCUCACACCAGAUUCCACUCCUCUUCACUGCCCACCCCCCACCCAGCUCCACAGUUACUGUGGGGGCGGGCAGCGCGCACAGAUGCAAGUGGGCAGAGACCCCUCCCCUGGGAACUCACAGUCUGGUGUGGACCCCAGGGAGGAGCACAGAUGGAACCUGGGGGGAUGGUUCCAUUGCCCCAAACUAGAAGCAACCAAGACGCCCUCCCAGGUGAACAGGUUUCAGCGCAAAGUGUGAAGAUGGGCCUGCUGUCCUCUCAACCCUGUCCCUGAGAUCUUGGAGAAAAACAGUCACCGGGACUAAAACCAGAAUCACCGUCCUGGUGUCAGCAAGGUGCCUGGAACUGGAGGGCAGAGCAGGACAGGCAUGGAAAGGGCCCCCAGAAAGGACAAGUGUGGGCUUGGAUCCCAGAGCUCUCCAGAGGGGAGUGCGCCCACAGGGGCAGGGCCAACCACCCCACUAUUCCUAGGAGGGACCCACUGGGGACAGCAAGGUGGGGUUUGUGCAGCUGGCUAGUUGCGGACCUCUCAGGCCCCACGGAGUAAUGGGAAGAACUAAACAGAGAUGCCAUUG